rnacentral:rRNA from 1 species
GUGGGGAAUAUUGGACAAUGGGCGCAAGCCUGAUCCAGCCAUGCCGCGUGAGUGAUGAAGGCCCUAGGGUUGUAAAGCUCUUUCACCGGUGAAGAUAAUGACGGUAACCGGAGAAGAAGCCCCGGCUAACUUCGUGCCAGCAGCCGCGGUAAUACGAAGGGGGCUAGCGUUGUUCGGAUUUACUGGGCGUAAAGCGCACGUAGGCGGAUCGUUAAGUCGAGGGUGAAAUCCUGGAGCUCAACUCCAGAACUGCCUUCGAUACUGGCGAUCUUGAGUCCGGAAGAGGUGAGUGGAACUCCUAGUGUAGAGGUGGAAUUCGUAGAUAUUAGGAAGAACACCAGUGGCGAAGGCGGCUCACUGGUCCGGUACUGACGCUGAGGUGCGAAAGCGUGGGGAGCAAACAGGAUUAGAAACCCGUGUAGUCC